rnacentral:rRNA from 1 species
GAUGAACGCUAGCGGCAGGCCUAACACAUGCAAGUCGAGGGGCAGCACGAUUGAGCUUGCUUAAUUGGUGGCGACCGGCGCACGGGUGCGUAACGCGUAUGCAACCUACCUUAAUCAGGGGGAUAGCCCGAAGAAAUUCGGAUUAACACCGCAUAAAAACACAGUACAGCAUUGUACAAUGUUCAAAUAUUUAUAGGAUU